CCUACGGGUGGCAGCCGUGGGGAAUAUUGCACAAUGGGGGAAACCCUGAUGCAGCGACGCCGCGUGAAGGAAGAAGUAUUUCGGUAUGUAAACUUCUCUCAGCAGGGAAGAAAAUGACAGUACCUGACUAAGAAGCCCCGGCUAACUACGUGCCAGCAGCCGCGGUAAUACGUAGGGGGCAGGCUUUAUCCGGAUUUACUGGGUGUAAAGGGAGCUGAGGCGGCGAUGCAAGUCAGAAGUGAAAGCCCGGGGCUCAACUCCGGGACUGCUUUUGAAACUGUAUGGCAAGAGUGCAGGAGAGGCAAGUGGAAUUCCUAGGGUAGCGGUGAAAUGCGUAGAUAUUAGGAGGAACACCAGUGGCGAAGGCGGCUUACUGGACUGUAACUGACGUUGAGGCUCGAAAGCGUGGGGAGCAAACAGGAUUAGAUACCCUGGUAGUC
rnacentral:rRNA from 1 species